rnacentral:rRNA from 1 species
GACGAACGCUGGCGGCGUGCUUAACACAUGCAAGUCGAGCGGUAAGGCCCUUUCGGGGGUACAUGAGCGGCGAACGGGUGAGUAACACGUGGGUGACCUGCCCUCAGCUCUGGGAUAAGCCUGGGAAACCGGGUCUAAUACUGGAUAUGACUCCAUGACGCAUGUUGUGGGGUGGAAAGCCUUGUGCGGCUGAGGAUGGGCCCGCGGCCUAUCAGCUUGUUGGUGGGGUGAUGGCCUACCAAGGCGACGACGGGUAGCCGGCCUGAGAGGGCGACCGGCCACACUGGGACUGAGACACGGCCCAGACUCCUACGGGAGGCAGCAGUGGGGAAUCUUGCGCAAUGGGCGAAAGCCUGACGCAGCGACGCCGCGUGAGGGAUGACGGCCUCGGUUGUAAC